rnacentral:rRNA from 1 species
GAUGAACGCUGGCGGCGUGCCUAAUACAUGCAAGUAGAACGCUGAAGGAAGGAGCUUGCUCUUUCCGGAUGAGUUGCGAACGGGUGAGUAACGCGUAGGUAACCUGCCUGGUAGCGGGGGAUAACUAUUGGAAACGAUAGCUAAUACCGCAUAACAGUAGAUGUUGCAUGAUAUCUACUUAAAAGGUGCAAUUGCACCACUACCAGAUGGACCUGCGUUGUAUUAGCUAGUUGGUGAGGUAACGGCUCACCAAGGCAACGAUAAAUAGCCGACCUGAGAGGGUGAUCGCCACCACUGAGCCUGAGAACCGGCCCAGCCUCCUACGGGAGGCAGCAGUGGGGAUUCUUCGGCAAGGGACGGAAGUCUGCCCGAGCAACGCCGCGUGAGUGAAGAAGGUUUUCGGAUCGUAAAGCUCUGUUGUAAGAGAAGAACGAGUGUGAGAGUGGAAAGUUCACACUGUGACGGUAUCUUACCAGAACGGGACGGCUAACUACG